UACGGGAGGCAGCAGUGGGGAAUAUUGCACAAUGGGCGAAAGCCUGAUGCAGCUAUGCCGCGUGUAUGAAGAAGGCCUUAGGGUUGUAAAGUACUUUCAUCGGGGAGGAAAAACAAAACUAAUAAUUUUAUUUCUUGACGUUACCCGAAAAAGAAGCACCGGCUAACUCCGUGCCAGCAGCCGCGGUAAUACGGAGGGUGCUAGCGUUAAUCAGAAUUACUGGGCGUAAAGAGCACGUAGAUGGUUUUUUUAAGUCAGAUGUGAAAUCCCUGGGCUUAACCUGGAACUGCAUUUUGAAACUGAAAUACUAGAGUAUCGUAGAGGGAGGUAGAAUUCUAGGUGUAGCGGUGAAAUGCGUAGAUAUCUGGAGGAAUACCUGUGGCGAAAGCGGCCUCCUAAACGAAUACUGACACUGAGGUGCGAAAGCGUGGGGAGCAAACAGGGAUUAGAUACC
rnacentral:rRNA from 1 species